rnacentral:rRNA from 1 species
CCUACGGGUGGCAGCAGUGAGGAAUAUUGGUCAAUGGACGAGAGUCUGAACCAGCCAAGUAGCGUGAAGGAUGACUGCCCUAUGGGUUGUAAACUUCUUUUAUAAAGGAAUAAAACGUGGCACUUGUGCCUUUUUGCAUGUACUUUAUGAGUAAGGAUCGGCUAACUCCGGUCCAGCAGCCGCGGUAAUACGGAGGAUCCGAGCGUUAUCCGGAUUUAUUGGGUUUAAAGGGAGCGUAGAUGGGUUGUUAAGUCAGUUGUGAAAGUUUGCGGCUCAACCGUAAAAUUGCAAUUGAUACUGGCAGUCUAGAGUACAGUUGAGGUAGGCGGAAUUCGUGGUGUAGCGGUGAAAUGCUUAGAUAUCACGAAGAACCCCGAUUGCGAAGGCAGCUUACUAAACUGUGACUGACAUUGAUGCUCGAAAGUGUGGGUAUCAAACAGGAUUAGAUACCCCUGUAGUC